UUCACAUCACAGAAACUGAAAUUUUCUGUUUAUACACAGGCCAGGUAUAUAGGGGGAGGGCCUACUGCAUUCAAGCUUCCCCACACAGCACCAUCAAUCUACCUAAACUCUGAUUUGAAAGGACCACUAACUGCAGGGGUGAGAAAUGAUGAUUCAUUUUUCAUGCUCAUUCCAUCACAGCC
rnacentral:sRNA from 1 species